AUUGAACGCUGGCGGCAGGCCUAACACAUGCAAGUCGAACGAGUGGCGGACGGGUGAGUAAUGUCUGGGAAACUGCCCGAUGGAGGGGGAUAACUACUGGAAACGGUAGCUAAUACCGCAUAUCAUCGGAUGUGCCCAGAUGGGCUGAGCUAGUAGGUGGGGUAACGGCUCACCUAGGCGACGAUCCCUCGCUGGGCUGAGAGGAUGACAAGCCACACUGGAACUGAGACACGGUCCAGACUCCUACGGGAGGCAGCAGGGGGGAAUAUUGCACAAUGGGCGCAAGCCUGAUGCAGCCAUGCCGCGUGUAUGAAGAAGGCCUUCGGGUUGUAAAGUCCUUUCAGCGAGGAAGCGUUACUCACAGAAGAAGCACCGGCUAACUCCGUGCCAGCAGCCGCGGUAAUAC
rnacentral:rRNA from 1 species